UAGCAUUCGUCAUGUCAUUCCAACUUGUUGUAUUGGUCCUGCUCUUUGAAUUUACUUUUUUUAGCUUGCACUAAUCACAGAAAAUACUUCCCCCAGCUCAGGAUUGUUAGGGACUUUCACAGAUAUUUCAUAACAUUGUCUCCCUAAUCUCUUUUUGUCUACCUCAUCUUGUUGGGGACCACAUUUAAAAAUAUCAGUUUCAUCAUUAAUUCUUCAUAGUUAAUUCAUUCUUUUCUAGAUCAAUGGUGGGCUUUGACGGUUCUAAGAACACUCUGCCUAACAAGAUUGGUAUCUCACGGUCUUCCUCAGAGUUGAGUAUCACAAAAUCUACUGGGAUGAUAAAGCUACACGCUUUGACUAACACAUCUUCCAAUACUCCUUUCGGAUGCACUGAAGAUCUCAGAGCCAAAUGUAGUGU
rnacentral:lncRNA from 1 species